UUUAAUUUAAAUUAUUUCCAUGGUUUUUUUUUCUGGUAGUAGUAUUAUUUAGUUACUUCUUUUUAUCCUUUGUGGUACUUGUGUAAUUGAUUGUUUAUAACAGUAACAUUGGGCAAACAUUCAAGAAAUGUUUCAAUAUGAAAAGCUUUUCAUGGAACAAUUUCUUUUUCUUGCAGCUAUGUUUACUUAAAUAUGUGAUAUUUAUUAACUUUCUGUAUCAGAAAGUUACGUGAUUGAGCAGCGUGUGAUGUCACAAUACUGCAUUAUAAGUUAAUUUAUUCAUUUUCAUAUCUCUAACUUAUGUACUUAAAGUAUUAUCAUUGACUGUUUGCCUAAAUGUGGUCAAGCCAGUAAAAAUGGAAUGGAUAUAAUGAUAAUGAUAUGAUAUAUUAUUAAAUUAUUGUAUUGUAAAAAAUUGUUUUAACAUAUGAUUUUAAUUGGUAAGCAUAUGAGAGUUCGGAGACAAUGUAUAUUUAAUCAGUGCUUUGCUCUAUAGCAAUUUAAUAUGAUUAUAUUUGAAGGAUUAUUUUUCUUUUGGAUUAGCUAUCACUAUACUCUCUUUGACUAUAGAUAAGUUUUUCUAGUUCUGUGGAAUCAUUUUAUUUGACGUUCUACUCUUAGGCAUGUACUAAAAUCUACUGCUUUGUGGGUCAUAAUUUCAUGGGUGUAUACAAUUAUGUACAUGUCCAUGUUGAACGGUAGAUGGUAACAGAUCUUUAAUAAUCGUAAUACAUACAAAACUAACUUACGAUUAUGCAAAUGAUUGAUGUGAAAAGUAUUAACAUAACAUUUGGUUGGGAACCUUACAUGAACCGUACCGUAACAAAUAUAUAGGUUAUCCAUGAAAUCCAAAAUCAUUUAGCUACCAUAAACAGUGAUGAUGACUGUUUCUUUUGUGUGCAAAUUGUCAUGUAGCUUUGAGUUUUUCAAUAGUACAAUUGUACAGUAUAACCAAACUUUCAGAUGAUUAAGUCUUUAAAUUUUGAUAAGUUAUUUAUUUAUAUAGCUUAUUUUGAAGGUUUUAUGAAAAUCAGGCACUUGGUGUCCCAAUGCCAACAUAUGAGAACUUUGCCAUAACAACCAUAGUAUCUGAUAUCUUAAUCCAUUUCAAUGUCAUGUGUAGUAACUAAGUUAUAUUUAUUACACAUGCACCAGUAGUAAGACUAGUGCUUGAUGGGUUAUUGUUGAGGUUGAUUUUAAGAAUUCAAAAUGUGUUCGUUAUAUGUAUUUUGUUCACAUAUAUAGUGUGUCAUUCUAUUACAGCUAGUGCUGUCAAAUCUUUUUCAAUUAUCUGUAUGAAAGUUUUCAAAACAAAAUUGCAGAGAAAUGCCAAUAAAAAUUUUAAUCAUC
rnacentral:sRNA from 1 species